GAUGAAGAACGUAGCGAAAUGCGAUACGUAAUGUGAAUUGCAGAAUUCAGUGAAUCAUCGAAUCUUUGAACGCACAUUGCGCCUGCCAGCACUCUGGCAGGCAUGCCUGUUCGAGCGUCAUUUCAACCAUCAAGCCCUAGGCUUGCGUUGGAGCCCUGCGGCUGCCGCAGGCCCCUAAAAGCAGUGGCGGGCUCGCCAUCACACCGAGUGCAGUAGAUUACUCUUCGCUCAGGGCGUGUGGCGGGUUCCAGCCGUGAAACCCCCUACUUCUCAAGGUUGACCUCGGAUCAGGUAGGAAUACCCGCUGAACUUAAGCAUAUCAAUAAGCGGAGGA
rnacentral:misc_RNA from 1 species